AACGCACAUUGCGCCUCCCGGCAUCCCGGGAGGCAUGCCUGUCCGAGCGUCAUUGCAACCCCUCAAGCGCGGCUUGUGUGUUGGGUCGAACGUCCCGCGUGGACGGGCCCGAAAGGCAGUGGCGGCGUCGUGACCGGUGCCUGAGCGUAUGGGUCUUGUUAUCCGCUCGGUGGCCCGGUCCGGUGCUCGCUUUGACCGUCAACGUCUCUCAUGGUUGACCUCGGAUCAGGUAGGGAUACCCGCUGAACUUAA
rnacentral:misc_RNA from 1 species